rnacentral:lncRNA from 1 species
CUUUUAUGUUGAGUUUGUGAGUAAGAGCCCCGGUUUACACAUCAAUAACCUCUAGAAAAAAUGUGUUUAAUCCUUAUAAUUCUUCAGCCAAACAUUUUUUUUGUUGAUGGCUACUAUAUAUAUUUACCAUCAAAAGCACAAUGGCAAGUCGUAACAAAGGAGUACGCCGCCAUCUUGACUUUCUAAAAACCAUAAAUGUCCGAUAAAUACAACGGAAUCUUAAAUGAAAUAGCACC